GAUGAAGAACGUAGCAAAAUGCGAUACUUGGUGUGAAUUGCAGAAUCCCGUGAACCAUCGAGUUUUUGAACGCUAGUUGCGCCCGAAGCCUUUUGGCCGAGGGCACGUCUGCCUGGGCGUCACGCAUCGCGUCGCCCCCCACAAUCCUCCGUAAAGGGAACAUGUGUUUUGGGGGCGGAUAUUGGUCUCCCGUGCUCAUGGCGUGGUUGGCCGAAAUAGGAGUCCUUUCGAUGGACGCACGAACUAGUGGUGGUCGUAAAAACCCUCGUCUUUUGUUUCGUGCUGUUGCUCGCAAUGUAAACUCUUUAAAAACCCCAAUGUGUCGUCUCUUGACGACGCUUCGACCGCGACCCCAGGUCAGGCGGGACUACCCGCUGAGUUUAAGCAUAUCAAUAAGCGGAGGA
rnacentral:misc_RNA from 1 species